UUUUGGACACUUAAGGCACACAUAACAAUUGUGGGACAUGUCCAGUUGCAUUUUUUGUAUGUUUUUUUUUUUGUUUCAAAGCCCUGUCAGUAUUUAUUUUAAUAAAUGUUUAAAAAAAAAUUACAUUACUAUUUUUUUUUUUUUUUUUUUAACAGAACACGUGAAUGUGACCAUGCUCAGUUACUUCUACCCUGUUCUCGACCAAAUUGAAACACUGAGAAAAGAAUGCAGCCAACUGAAGAUGCCGCCAAUAUGGUGAUCCUGCAUCCAAAUCCUAACCCCUAAAACCUUUCACGAAAUAUAUCUUUUGAGUAUGAGUGAGUUCUCCAGAGGCCGUCUGGUGAACCUCUGUGGCCACGAACCAAUCAGAGUCAUUAACCUGAUGUUCCAGAUGAGCAGAGACAAGAAUGAUAAGAAUAUCAUCCCAUUAUUGAGUCCAUUAAGAGAGCCAGAGGAGGGAGAAGAUCCAUGCCGUCUGCAGUCAGAUUUCAUUCACCACCAGCGCAGAGAUAAUUAGCCGACAGAUUAGACAAACCACUCAUACACACACACACAUACACUCACAGAGCUUCGGCUCAUUAUCCUGGAUGACUUUGACUGUUAAGUAGCUGCUCCCUUGUGUUUUAUUUGUUGACCAUAUGCCAUUACAUCAAAACUGAUCUUUGCCUUUAAGGUUACUUAAAGCCAAACCAAAGCCAUUAAGCAAACUACUGUACAUAUGUAUAUAUAUAUAUAUAUAUAUAUAUAUAUAUAUAUAUAUAUAUAUAUAUAUAUAUAUAUAUAUAUAUAUAUAUUAGUGCCCUCCACUAAUAUUGGCACCCUUUGUAAAUAUGAGCAAAGGCGGCUUUGAAAAUAAGUCUGCAUUGUUUAUCCUUUUGAUCUUUCAUUAAAAAAAACACAAAAUUCUAAACUGUCAUUGAAGUAAAACAAUUGAAAGUGGUAGGAAAGUCUCAUUGUGAAAUAAAUGCUUUCUCUAAUUCAUGUUAACCACAAUUAUUGGCACCCAAUUAUUGCAAUGUCCUUUUCCUAAGAUAACAGCUCUGGGUUUUUUCCUAUAAUGCCUGAAGAGUUUGGAGAGCACCUGACAAGAGAUCAGAGACCAUUCCUUCAUCCAGAAUCACUCCAGACCCUUUAGAUUCACAGCUCCAUGUUGGUGCUUCUUCUCUUCAGUUCACCACACUCAUUUUCUAUGAGGGUUCAGGUCAGAGGACUGGGAUGGCCAUGGCAAAAGUUUGUAUUGGAACUCUUAGACAUUGGCUUACUUGUCAUUUUGUUAUUUCUGUUUGUUUCGUUUAUUUUGGUUUUGCUUGUGUUGAGAUUGUAUUUUUCUUGUUUGUAGUAUUUGAUUAUUUGUUGUAAAUUCCUGUGAAUAAUAGCUUAUUGGGAUGUAGGGUUCAGAUGCCAAUUAUUUUCUCAUAAUUUUGUAA
ensembl:lncRNA